GAUGAACGCUGGCGGCGUGCCUAAUACAUGCAAGUCGAGCGAACGGACGAGAAGCUUGCUCCUCUGAUGUUAGCGGCGGACGGGUGAGUAACACGUGGAUAACCUACCUAUAAGACUGGGAUAACUUCGGGAAACCGGAGCUACUACCGGAUAAUAUUUUGAACCGCAUGGUUCAAAAGUGAAAGACGGUCUUGCUGUCACUAAUAGAUGGAUCCGCGCUGCAUUAGCUAGUUGGUAAGGUAACGGCUUACCAAGGCAACGAUGCAUAGCCGACCUGAGAGGGUGAUCGGCCACACUGGAACUGAGACACGGUCCAGACUCCUACGGGAGGCAGCAGUAGGGAAUCUUCCGCAAUGGGCGAAAGCCUGACGGAGCAACGCCGCGUGAGUGAUGAAGGUCUUCGGAUCGUAAAGCUCUGUUAUUAGGAAAGAACAUAUGUGUAAGUAACUGUGCACAUCUUGACGGUACCUAAACAAAAAGCCACGGCUAACUCCGUG
rnacentral:rRNA from 1 species